UACGAAGGGUGCGAGCGUUGUUCGGAAUUACUGGGCGUAAAGGGUUUGUAGGCUGAAAUGUAAGUCAAGUGUGAAAUCCCCGAGCUAAACUUGGGACGUGCAUUUGAAACUGUGUUUCUUGAAUAUCGUAGAGGGUGGUGGAAUUGUAGGUGUAGGAGUGACAUCCGUAGAGAUCUGCAGGAACAUCAGAGGCGAAGGCGACCACCUGGCCGAUGACU
rnacentral:rRNA from 1 species